UGGUAGUUAUAUGAAAAAUAAAGACAAUAGAUAAAUGUCAUCAUCCAGAUAAGUAAAUUAAGAAGAGUGUCUUGAUGGUAUAAACUUACCAUGUUUACACUACCGUGUUAGCUAAGUUUUUCCAUUUUUCCAUGAUGGCUUCAUUUGGGACCUAUCCAUGCUUUUGGCUCCAAGAGUACAUCUACUCAGCAGAAGCAGGAUCAAGGAAACCAAACAUCAGUCAUCCCGAGAACAAUUCAGAAUCCAACUAGAGGACCUUAAAGUGAAUGACCCACCCAUCAAAGAUAUUCCUGUCUGGAAGUCUUGGCUCAGAUCUCUAAUGGAGGUGGGAGGCAUGCCCAGCCCUGGUUCGUCUCUCAAGGAGUCUUCAGUGCCUAAUCUGGGAUCUAUGUGUCAGAGAUGUGAACAGACAGCAAAAUGGACUCUAGUAUGUGUCAAAGCUUGACCGAUGAAGAAGUACAGGAGAAGUUCAUUCACUCUUAAAUAACUGCCCUUCUUGUUGGAAUAAUGGGCCCUCCUGCAGGAGAUGGGAAUUUACUUCCCAGUUAAAACAGCAGAAAUUCCCUUUCAGGAGAUGUCAGGUAGAGUGGUGAGAUGGAAGAUUCCACAACCCAUCAGCUUUCAAAGGGAUUCUGGAGAGCUCUCUUGGCAUUAUGGAUGGACAAGAACCAGGAUGAAGUUGGUAAGAGUUCUGGAGACAUCCCUAUUCAUUACAAAUGAGGUCGAGAACAGGAUGGCAUUGGUACAUGGGAUUUCUGCUAAUGAUUUUCUUUUCUCCCCAUCACUAUCCCUGUCCCCCCACCCUGUGCCUCUCAGGUUUGAAAAAUAAUGUAGCCGUCUUAGAUGAAGAAAUUAGUUAUCCCAAUAUAAGUUUCUGUAUGGGAGGGCUUACCUAGAACCUUUAAAGGUAAAUUUCUAAGAGAGGAUGGAAAAAUAUAGUGGAAGAGUUAUGAUUGAAAUAAGAAACUGUCAAAGGAAAAAGAAACUGUCAAAGUUUAAUUAAAAGAGUUGACACCAGUGGAUGGUCUUAAUCUACAAACAAGUAGGCAACUAUACAACGUUUUUCCCUACUAGGUCAACUUCCACUUUAAUACUGACAGGACAGAACAACCCUACUAUUAAUACAUAAUUAAUAUUCAACUGCUUUGGUUCAACAAAGGGAAGAACUAAAGAGGAACCAAAGUUAUGGAAAAACUCAAACCACCAUGCCAGAGUCUCUUAGAACCCAAACUAAUUCUCAAAAAAUGCUUAGUCUGAAAAAACUUCACUCAGUUCAACCAUGAGCUAAUUGAUGUACCAAAUAUUAACCUGCUAUACUAUACACCAGCCAUUAUUCUAGAUGCUAGAGGCAGAGGAGUAAACAAAACAGAAAAGAUCUGGCUCUCUUGUAGUUUACAUUCUUCUGGGGGAGAUAAACAAAAAACCAGUAAACAUAACUACUUUCAGAUGUUAUAAGGACUAAAAAGAAACUAAAAUAGGCUGAUGAGAUGAAGAAUGCCCAGAGAGGCCAGGAUAGACGGGGGUGGCCCUUCUGAGGAUGUGACAUUUGAGCUAAGGCCCACCAUGGAGAGGAGGAAGAGAAGUGCUUCAGUCAGAGGGCCAGCAGGUGCAAAGGCCCUGAGGUGGAAAUGAGCUUCAAGUUAAAAAACCAAGGCUUUUAUGUGCGUGGGGCACAGUGAGCAUGGAGGAGAACCCUACGAAACGUAACGUAGCCUGAGUGACCAGCAGGGGCCAGGUCAUAAAGAGCCUUGUAGGCCAGAAGGUGUUCAGAUUUUAUCCAAGGCACAAUGAGAGACAUUUGGCUGGAUUUAUGAAUAAUAUGAACUCGAAAGAAUUUUUUAUUUUGACUUUAGCACUAGAAAUGAGCUAUAUUUUCCUUGACUGUGUGGUAUAGUUCUAUGUCACCAACUUGUGAUAAGUUUUACCUUCCAAGUUUGGAUUAAAGGUGUAGUUACUAUCCACAUAUAUGUUACAGGGAUGGGACCCAUUAUGCAGAUAGUAUACUAUGCAAAUACUAUAGCAUUUUGUGUACUAACUUAAAUUCCAUCUUCAUUUCAUUGUCUUACUUUCAGUUGUCUUUUGCCUCAAUUUCUUUACCUCCUGCUAAAGUACUUGAAUGUAUGCAUUUGUCAGUUGCCUCAAGUCCUUUCAUCGGUGGGUUUUAAAUAAACACAUUGAAAUGCAGGCCUGGCAAGAUAGAAUCUCUCAUAUUCUUGAGUCUCCUUCUAGAUGUUGACAAUCCGAAACUAAAAUAGCCAGGUAACCCUGAGGAUUCAGUGACUUUAUCUUCAUAUGAAGGUGACAAUUUCACACUUUCCCAGUGGACAUUUUAAAAGACCACAGAAUUAGAAAUAAAAUUCUUCUAACACAGUAAACAUUAAAAAAUAAAGUUUCAUGGUGAAAUUUCUUGAGCUUCUGUCAUAGUCAGGGGAGAGCCUCAUACAAUCUGUAAGCUUUUUUAUUUAGGCAUGACCAGGUUUAACUUUUUUCUGUGCCAUUGUGUUCACAGACAAUCCUGUAGGACUCAUUUCCAUGGCUUCCUGCAGAGAAUACUUAGAAUCACUAGCUCUGAAAUGCCAAAUGUCUGUCAGGCAAAACACCUUUUUAGAUUUUGUGAGAUAUGUAAUUAUAUUCCAUAUGACAUGCUCCAUUGUGUGUUUGAAAAGAGACAAGUAUUUACUACACUCGACAGGUGGGUCAGACUACCUCACAAAGAAAGCUGAAUCUGCCAGGUCACCAGGCAGAGUUUCCAGGGGUGGCAAGUCCCAUUUGCUCCUUCCUUUUCUUCCCACUCUAGCUUACCCUUUAGAAAAAUACAAAAAAGUACAAGUUACCCCAAGGACACUGGGCAAAUAUUUAACAGCUCGAUGGAGCUGUCUGACCCUGAUUUUAAAAGAAAAAGAAAA